AACGAACGCUGGCGGCAGGCUUAACACAUGCAAGUCGAACGCCCCGCAAGGGGAGUGGCAGACGGGUGAGUAACGCGUGGGAAUCUACCCAGUUCUACGGAAUAACCCAGGGAAACUUGGACUAAUACCGUAUACGCCCUACGGGGGAAAGAUUUAUCGGAAUUGGAUGAGCCCGCGUUGGAUUAGCUAGUUGGUGGGGUAAUGGCCUACCAAGGCGACGAUCCAUAGCUGGUCUGAGAGGAUGAUCAGCCACACUGGGACUGAGACACGGCCCAGACUCUUACGGAAGGCAGCAGUGGGGAAUAUUAGACAAUCGGCGCAAGCCUCAUCCACCCAUGCCGAGUGAGUGAUGAAGGCCUUAGGGUUGUAAAGCUCUCUCAGUGGGGAAGAUAAUGACGGUACCCACAGCAGAAGCCCCGGCUAACUUCCUGCCAGCCGCCGCGGUAAAAC
rnacentral:rRNA from 1 species